rnacentral:rRNA from 1 species
GUUGAGCUGUUCGCUCAUUAAAGUGGCACGCGAGCUGGGUUCAGAACGUCGCAAGACAGUUCGGUCCCUAUCUGUUGUGGGCGUUAGAAAUUUGAGAGGAGCUGACUCUAGUACGAGAGGACCGUGUCGGACAAACCGCUGGUGUAUCUGUUGUGACGCCAGUUGCAUUGCAGAGUAGCUACGUUUGGAAGGGAUAAGCACUGAAAGCAUCUAAGUGCGAAGCCUACCUCAAGAUGAGAUUUCUUUUAAGGGUCGUUGAAGAUUACAACGUUGAUAGGUCACAGAUGUAAAGUUGGUAACAGCAAAGUCGAGUGAUACUAAUAGCCCGUAGACUUUCUUUUU